AUACGGAGGGAGCAAGCGUUGUCCGGAAUUACUGGGCGUAAAGAGCAUGUAGGCGGCCCUUUUAGUCAGAUGUGAAAACUCAGGGCUCAACUCUGAGACUGCAUCUGAUACUGGAGGGCUUGAGUGCAGGAGAGGAAAGUGGAAUUCCUAGUGUAGCGGUGAAAUGCGUAGAUAUUAGGAGGAACACCGGUGGCGAAGGCGGCUACCUGGACCGAUACUGACGCUGAGACGCGAAAGCGUGGGGAGC
rnacentral:rRNA from 1 species